UGGGGAAUAUUGCACAAUGGGGGAAACCCUGAUGCAGCGACGCCGCGUGAGCGAAGAAGGCCUUCGGGUCGUAAAGCUCUUUUAUAUGGGAAGAUAAUGACGGUACCAUAAGAAAAAGCUCCGGCUAAAUACGUGCCAGCAGCCGCGGUAAUACGUAUGGAGCGAGCGUUGUCCGGAAUUAUUGGGCGUAAAGGGUACGCAGGCGGUUUAAUAAGUCGAAUGUUAAAGAUCGGGGCUCAACCCCGUAAAGCAUUGGAAACUGAUAAACUUGAGUAGUGGAGAGGAAAGUGGAAUUCCUAGUGUAGUGGUGAAAUACGUAGAUAUUAGGAGGAAUACCAGUAGCGAAGGCGACUUUCUGGACACAAACUGACGCUGAGGUACGAAAGCGUGGGGAGCAAACAGG
rnacentral:rRNA from 1 species